rnacentral:lncRNA from 1 species
AGCACUUUAUAAAAUAUCUCAUGGGCAUAUUAUUUUCUUAGGCAGAGAAGACAGAGAUUAACACAUGACUUGUGAAAUGGAAGAGGAGCUGGUGGACGGGAGACUGCACAGAAAGAAAAGUCCUAAUGGUGGAGAGCAGCUCCCUGGACUCGUCUGCUGCCAUGAGAGGUCUCAGCCAAGGAUUUGGAGCCAAGAUAUGAGGGAAAUGGCUUAACCAGAUGUGUGCCCAUGCCUGCAACACUGAACUUUGAGAUGUGGUUAUUUAAAAAGCCUGCCAUCUUCUCUGGCUCACUGCAGCAAGGUGAGUAAUGGGUGGGACAGCAGCAUAUCCAGAAAAACACCUCUUUUUCAAGGGGAAGGAGAAGAGGUUAUA